UACGUAGGGGGCAAGCGUUGUCCGGAAUCAUUGGGCGUAAAGAGCGUGUAGGCGGCCCGCUAAGUCCGCUGUGAAAGUCCAGGGCUCAACCCUGGGAUGCCGGUGGAUACUGUCGGGCUCGAGUCCGGAAGAGGAGUGUGGAAUUCCUGGUGUAGCGGUGAAAUGCGCAGAUAUCAGGAGGAACACCUAUUGCGAAGGCAGCUCGCUGGGACGUUACUGACGCUGAGACGCGAAAGCGUGGGGAGCAAACAGG
rnacentral:rRNA from 1 species